AUUGUAUUGCUUGUUAAACAUAUUACUAAAAUUCCCGUGAGAUUUAGUUUUCAAGUAUAAAUGUUGCCUAUAUUAUCGAGAAUGUCGAGGAAAAUAUCGGGAGUGUCGAAAAAAAAUAUCGGGAGUGACGAAAAAAAAUAUCGGGAGUGCCGAAAAAAGAAACGGGUGAUAAUCAUUACGCGUAGAUAUACUGUCAUGUCGAUAGUGUGAACGUGAAAUAGUUUCGUCAAGAUAUCUCUCUGCAUCAGUCCUCAGAUCAGUCCUCAGAUAUCAUUCAGUUUCUGCGAAUGCGAUUCGUCGACUGCAAUAUGAUGCACGUGAAUACGAAGCGGCAUUUCAUCGUGGCUGGCGCAAUCAAUGCCACAGCGGAGAAGCCCUAGGGAAGAUCUACCCUCCGCACGUGUAACAGGUUACCGAAGCGAGAAUUGAAAGUUACUACCAUCUGAAUGACAGUCACGACCGGAUCAAACAGUGUGAGUACGAGUUUGCUGAUCAGUUUUGGAGUACAGCUUUUAUUCUGAUGCCAG